rnacentral:tmRNA from 1 species
GGGGCUGUUUUGGUUUCGACAUUUAAAAUUAAUUAAUAUAUGAUUCAGGCCGAAGCGUGUAUUCUUCGUAAAAAUCUACACAACAUAAAUAUAACUGCUAUUAACAACUUUUUUAAAGCAAUCAACUUCAAUAUUCAAAACACUUUUUUCAAUUCAUUACGAUUUGCUGUUUAACAAAUUUUAGUGAAUAGUUCACUAUUUUUAGAUACUUUAUCUACUAUAGUUUAGACUAAUUUAAUUAAUAACUUGUUCUUUGAAACUAUGCCUGUGAGCGAGUAUAUUAAUUGAUUUUAAAUGGACAUGGGUUCAAUUCCCAUCAGUUCCA